CUACUGUAACCAUUCUACAGAAAAUAAAAAUAUCUUUUGGGAUAUUACUCUAAUAAGUCGAAUUGAGCUAGAAUAUUUUUAGAAGCACCAAUCUCUUGGUGCUUAGAAGUUUAUAGCUCUUAAAUCUAUUCCAUGAUUAUUAAUAACUUUUGGAUCAAAUACUAUUUCAUCUACCGCCACCUAUCACAACCUACUAUCAUCAUCUCAACUCUAUAUCUCUCCAUCUAAUGGUUAAAUACUCAAAAGCAACACCUCUUGAUGCUUUUGAGAGUAUUUUAGCCCAACUCCUAAUAAGUCCCACUAUAAUGCUAACCAAGCAGUUAGUCCUGCCAAAUUUUUCACACUUAGAUCUAUUUUUUAUCAUUGUUAUUUUUAAAAUUAUAUUAUUUUAUCAAUCACUUAUUAAAUUUAGAGUACCAUUAUCGUUCUAACCAAACAUCCCUCCGACUGAAAAUCUAAUCGCACUAAGGGAGUUCGUGCUUCUAAUUUUUUUUAGCCCUCGGAUCAACCUCUUUAAUUAUUUUUAAUUUUUGAAUUAACAUUAUUAUUCUAAGGGGACCACUAUCAUCUUGAUCAUACAAUUCUUAAUUCAAAGAUCAAAAAGUCGGAAACAUUAAUAUCCCUUAUGCUUUAGAUAGUAUAAUAGUUCUACACUUAUUAUAUUGUUACUAGAUAAUAAAAAAUUAAUGUGUUACUAAUAUAAAAAUAUUAUAGUAUAUUUUUAUUUAUUAUUUUAUGGUGCUAUAUUAUUUUUUAUAUAAUUAUAUAAGAUUAAUAAAAUUUAAAAAUUAGAAUAGGUUAAAAUUUUAUGAAUAAAUGGAUUAUGUAGUUUGAUGGCUAAAGUGUAGGAAUGUAAAA
rnacentral:lncRNA from 1 species